GCCAGGCGUGGUGGCACAUGCCUGUAAUCCAGCAGCUUGGGAGGCUGAGGCAGGUGGCUAGGGAGUUCAAAGCCAGCCUUGCUAAGCAACUCAGUGAGAUCCUGUCUCUA
rnacentral:sRNA from 1 species